rnacentral:lncRNA from 1 species
UCCUUCUCUGGAUUCACACCAGCACCUCAAUGUCCUUUCCUGAAUGGAGAGACCCAGAAUUGGACACAGAACUUGAGGUUUGAUUUCACCAGUGCCUAGUACAGGGAAAUAAUCACUUUUUCCUGUUGUGAGUGAAAACAAAAAAACCAACCAACUUUUACAUGGUUGGGAAGUGUGAAACCAAAACGUGGAUUUGGUUUACAUGAACUGCAUAUAAACCAAGAGCAAAUAAAUAGGAGGAAGAGAGUCUCUGGUUCAAUGAAUAUAAAUAACUAGAAUAUUUAUAUUCUAUAUUUAUAUUCUUGUUCUCAGAACUGCAUAAACAUGACCAGCAUCCAGAAAUCAGUCACAAUAUUUUGCAUUUGGACACGAAAACCAUUUCAUUAGAGAAAACUGAAAAGACUGUGUGAAAGACUUGAGCAAAAACACAAUGAAUUCCUGAAGUAGAAAUGGAAAGGAACACUUUCAUUUUAUGAGGGUCUUGUUAAAGAACCUGAAAUAUGCUGAUUAAAGAGGUCAACAAGAUCUAAUAAAUUCCUGAAUGAAAAAGAGAAGAACAUUUAACCUCAGCACAGUCUCAUAAACAGCUUGUCAAAUGCAACACAAUAAUGUCUGAGGUUACGUGGAAUGACACUGUCAUUUAAAAAAAAUAUGGCACUGAUGGAUUCCAGCCCUACCAAUCUGAAGUGCUGUGAGAGAACACUGAUGACUCUUGUUCUUAGGAUGUAUUUUUGACCACUUAAAUGCCAGAGGUGGCUCUGAUUACUUCUGAACUGUAGUGUGAGAUGUGUAAUCUCUAGACUCUGGAUUUGGAUCCCAUACUGUUCAGGAGUUUUGAGUUCUGAGGAAAAGCAUACUAAGAAUGCUUUGCACAGGCAUGGUCCUGGGUUGUCUCAUACCCAGAAACAACCCUUACUCUCCUCCACAGAGGCCAGAUUUCUCAGAAUAUGGAAUAUGUGUGGAUGCUCAGUGAAAACAGCUCACCAGAGAGCAAGUAGCCUGUGUUUGGGACAGACAACCUGCUGUUCAGUUCAGAUGAUUCAGAGCAGAUUUGGAAUAUGUGAUACCAGGCCUUCAUCCAAGGGGCAGCAGUGA